AUGAAUUAUUCACUUGUUAUUGAACCAUUUGAUGUUUGGGGCUUUGAUUAUAUGGGACCGUUUCCUUCCUCUAAUGGCUAUACACAUAUCUUAGUUGCUGUUGAUUACGUUACUAAGUGGGUAGAAGCUAUUCCAACUAGUAGUGCUAAUCAUAACACCUCUAUUAAGAUGCUUAAAGAAGUUAUUUUUCCGAGGUUUGGAGUCCCUAGAUACUUAAUGACUGAUGGUGGUUCACAUUUUAUUCAUGGUGUUUUUCGUAAAAUGGUUGCUAAGUAUGACGUUAAUCGUAGAAUUGCAUCUCCAUAUCACGCACAGUCUAGUGGUCAAGUAGAAUUGAGCAAUAGAGAGCUUAAAUUAAUCUUGCAAAAGACUGUUCAUAGAUCUAGAAAGAAUUGGUCCAAGAAACUUGAUGAUGCAUUAUGGGCCUAUAGAACUGCAUAUAAAAAUCCUAUGGGUAUGUCUCCGUAUAAGAUGGUUUACGGAAAAGCAUGUCACUUACCUCUCGAACUAGAACAUAAGGCAUAUUGGGCCAUUAAAGAGCUCAAUUAUGAUUUCAAACUUGACAGUGAGAAGAGGCUAUUUGACAUAAGCUCACUUGAUGAAUGGAGAACCCAAGCCUAUGAGAAUACUAAAUUGUUUAAUGAAAAGGUUAAAAGAUGGCAUGACAAAAGGAUACAAAAGCAUGAGUUUAAUGUAGGUGAUUAUGUGUUGCUAUUCAACUCUCGUUUAAGAUUUUUUGCAGGAAAACUUCUCUCUAAAUGGGAAGGUCCUUACGUUAUCAAGGAGGUCUAUCGUUCCGGUGCCAUAAAAAUCAACAAAUUUGAAGGCACAAACCCGAAGGUGGUGAACGGUCAAAGAAUCAAACAUUAUAUCUCAGGUAAUCCCAUAAAUGUUGAAACCAAUGUUAUCAAAACCGUAACCCCGGAGGAAUACAUAAAGGACACUUUCCAAAACGUUUCAGACUCCGAAAAGAAAUAG
rnacentral:rRNA from 1 species